CCUCAGCAAAAAAAGUCUCUCCAUGAAGAUGGUCUUCUCCAUACCAGAAAUGACUCCCUUCCCCUAGAUUUCCCUGUGGACAAUGAUUGUGACCUCAUCUCAGGUGUAACACAUUGGAAAAGAGAUGGAAUACCAUCCACUGCCUGGGCAGGGACAUUUGAUCAAGGCUCCCUGGGGCUUCAUCCCUGAUCAAUACAUGGGAAAACAGAAAAACAACCCCCAAACUGAAUGACCGAGCCUUCCCUCCCAGCCACACUCCCUACUUCAGAGCUGCUCUGGGCACAUACUCAGGGCUGCUCUGGGGCCGUUGCCCUCUCCUGACAUUUGGAGAGAGGAGCUGGGAAGAAGAAGGAGGGGAUAAGGAAAUGAAUGCUGCCAGAAGGGCUGCCCCAAUCUGUGAUCUAUGACCACUGUGGGAUGCCCAGACUAUGGCAUUUAGACCUAUGAUGGCCCAAGUGAUGCUGAGGUCACUUAGGACCCUGGAAGCCUCAACCUAGGGAAGAAGGAACUUCUAUAGAUUACAUUCAAUUGAAUAAAUAAUUUCAGUAAACUCUGUCAGAGCUGGAA